CUGCUGAGGAAUCCGACAAAGCUGCUGACGAGGGUUCCGCCUCCCUUGCGAUAGUCGCCGACCAGUUUGCAACCGCUGAUGAAUUCGACGAAGUUAGGGCUCUGACUCAGCUGCGAUAGCCGCCUACCAGUUCGCCCACCAACGGCUCGUGAGUUUUCAAAUGAACUCCGUAUCAGUACUAAGGCACCAAAAGCUCCAACUGUAUGGCUUGAAGGUUCAGGUUCCACUUAGAGUCUAACCAGUGUAGACACUUGUGUAGUUUCAGAAGCAUACUCUAAAAUGCUUACAGUAUUUGUCCCACUACUGGUGGAUGGGGUUAUCCUUCAAACUCUAUCUUUUACUAUGGGGUUUUUUACCAUGUGCUUGCAUGUGUAAACUUAUGUUUUGAUUGGUGCCAUCCAAUUAUGCUUUUCCUUGUCUAUUUCUAUAAUUGCAGAGUUUUUUCUUUGGACAUUUUAUGUGCUUUGAAGUUCCUACACAUGGCAAUAAAACUGGGCAUGGUGAUGAUGUGAUGAUUUAGGCAUCAUGGACAUUGACAAUAAUAAUAACAUAGCUGGUGAGAAAGAAGAUGAAGCUGGAAUAUGAAGCAGUAGGAGGUGAUCGAUCUUUUGGAAUCAAGAUUGAAGAAGCAGAUUGUAAUUUGAUGAAGGUCAUGGCCUUUCACUCUUAAUUGCAUUGUUCUUAGGGCGUUUCAUGACCACCCUUAGUGUUUUCUUAGGCCGAAUGGCCUUGUAUUGAUGUUAGGCCGAAUGGCCUUUGUGGAUGUUAGGCCCGGAUGGCCUUGUUAAACUCUUGUGAGCCAUAGCUCACUUUUGGGGCUGUGGCAUCUUUGUAAAAAAUA